rnacentral:rRNA from 1 species
CCCUUAGAUGUCCGGGGCCGCACGCGCGCUAUACUGAAGGAAUCAGCGUGGCUUUCUCCCUGACCCGAAAGGGUUGGGAAACCCGUUGAAUCUCCUUCGUGAUAGGGAUUGGGGCUUGAAAUUGUUCCCCAUGAACGAGGAAUUCCCAGUAAGCGCGAGUCAUAAGCUCGCGUUGAUUACGUCCCUGCCCUUUGUACACACCGCCCGUCGCUACUACCGAUUGAACGGUUUAGUGAGGGCCUCGGAUUGGUCUCGGCCCGCUCUUUACCGGGCGGCGCCGUUGGUCGAGAAGACGCUCGAACUUGAUCGUUUAGAGGAAGUAAAAGUCGUAACA